GCCUGCUUCUACUGUUUUCAGAUACUCACUGGCACAGGGAACUUGGGUGUUACAUUUCCCCUAAACCCUGCUCCAUCGCUUUAACAUCAAGGUCCUAAUUUUGAUAACAUUUGACAUAGAGAUGAAGGCAUAAGGUCACAUUCACAGUAAGCCCUAUAAUUCUGCAAAAAUCUUAAGAGACCUAGAACCACAAAGAAAAAACACAAAGUAACAUCAUCUUCCCAUGCAUAAGCAUGCUCUAAAAAUUAGUCACCUGAAGAAGAGCUGCAUGCAGUAAAGACAUCUAUUACUAUAUAGUUUGCUUUACUCUAAAAGACCCUACUAGCUGUUACCUCAAAAAGACAUGCUUACCUUUCUCAACUUAGAAACACAUUAACCCAUACAUUCUGAACCACCUAAAGAACCCUGCAACUGGCUGAAGAAAAAAACAAAACAUGUUCCUCCCCUCCAUCAAAGCACAGACAGACAGAAAGAGCUUUCUAGUGGGACACCUGCAGCUUAUAUACUAUUAGACCCACCUGGCACCCAACCAAUCACCUGGGAAAGGGGUGGGGCAAAGCAAAAAAAAAAAAAAAAAAAAAAAAAAAAAAAAAAAAAAAAAAAAAAAAGUAGAAAUCAAGCAGGAUGAGCAGCAGCUAUGUUGUUUUUGUUUAUUUGGCUUAGCUCAACAGUGUGCAAAGCCCAGUACAGAGAACUAGGCUGUUUGUAGAAGCAGUAAUUCUCAUGCUUUUGCUUCAGCUUUUAAUAUUGGAAGGACAACAUGACCAAAUAAAAGCUAUACAGGCCUCCCCAUCAUUCAAAGAGACAAGACAAAACACAAAAUUGAAAACAAACAAGCAAAUAAAACAAACAAACCAAAAAGAAAAUAUUGUAAGAGAAGAUAAUGCAACAGUCAAAUUUUACAAACCAGGUCUUGCUUAAGGAUCUGGAGGAAUGACAUCCUGACAGAAAUCCUCCAGGUGAUGCCACGUGCUCCCACCAUAGCUGAGAAGAACUGCUUUAAUAGGUAUUUCUGGACUAAAACCCUUGUUUUAGGACCUAGACAUGUGAAAAUUUGGAACAGGUAGAAAGGAUGAAAAAGAAUCAGUAAAGAAGCACACAGCGUGCAUGGGUUUCUUAGCAGAUAACAUGCUGGCAUCUUUCUUAGUAGAUGACAAAGACUUUUUGUGAGAUGUAGCAUAACCAUGUCACUCCCAGCGAAUCUACCAAACUUCACGCAUAAGAAAUUAGCAUGAGAAUAUGUUUAUUGAUACUGCGUGGCUCAAAAUAAUUUAUAAAAAGACCAAUGCCACAGACCAGAAUGAUUUAAUGAGGUGCUUUGUGCUCUCCUGGCCCCCUCCUCUUUCUUCUAGUGCCUAUGAACGCUAGCUGUCAGAAUUUUGUGGACCUUGUCCAAAGACAGAUUAGAGCAAAGAAGUUUUAACACUGACUUCAGCCAUCUUUGUAUGCACAUAGUAAUGCAGAUACAAUGUUGCCCUUCUUGCUUAAUAGACUUGACGCAUUUUCUUAUUUACCAGGAACAUUUUUAGUCAGCAGCCAAGAAUCUCCUUCUGACUGCAUUUAUAGAUAGAACUGAGAACUCUUUCACUCUAUAUGCUACAUAGUUUAUUUGUAUUUAUUAAGUCCCUAAUGAACAUUUAAGUCCACACUGAAAUGAAUGAUGCAUUUUAUUAAUUGUGUGUUGUUGUGUUUUUUUUUAUUAAUAGGAAAAUAGUAAAAUAAGAAUAAGCAUUGGCAUUAACACUUAAUAGCUAAAUUCAGACACAGCCUUUCUCAAAACAAUUUUAUCCAAAGAAAUACAAAAAACAUUUAUAUAAUACAAAUACAAUACAUCUUAUACAAAGAAAAUAUAUAUUUUGUUCCUUCUCCCCAUCCCUGUUUUUAGUCUCACCUCCCUUUACACCUUCGCUGACCAGAUGAU
rnacentral:lncRNA from 1 species